UCCUUCCUUGGUAGGACUAGUCCUUCCAAGGAAGGAUCCUUCAGAGGCUAGGCCAGACUCCUCCUGAGCAUUCGGAGAGCAUGUACAUUGGAACAGGCUAGCAAGUGCACGUCAUUGCGUGCUUGCGUCAUCGAAAAUGUUUCGCCGCCUUCACUUCCGCGCUGCAUUUCAAAACACUGGACAAAAUGUCAAUGCGAAAUGGAUGUGGAACUGUGAAGUUCAAUUUUUUUGUUGAGAAGGUGAAUCAGCGUCAGUCUGCUUGCAGGAGGAGAAUAUUCUGUCGGCAACUUUGACGCAACGUGCUAAGUCUGGAAACACCAUCAUCAGCAGCUGAGUCUGGUCAUCGCUUCAUGUUGAAUAUUGUGUACAGUAUAUAGUAAUGUUUGAAUAAAUGUUAUAAUAAAAGAUA